UACGUAGGGGGCUAGCGUUGUCCGGAAUCAUUGGGCGUAAAGCGCGUGUAGGCGGCCCGAUAAGUCCGCUGUGAAAGUCCAGGGCUCAACCCUGGGAUGCCGGUGGAUACUGUCGGGCUCGAGUCCGGAAGAGGCGAGUGGAAUUCCUGGUGUAGCGGUGAAAUGCGUAGAUAUUGGGAGGAACACCGGUGGCGAAGGCGGCUACCUGGACCGGUUCUGACGCUGAUGCGCGAAAGCGUGGGGAGCAAACAGG
rnacentral:rRNA from 1 species